rnacentral:rRNA from 1 species
UCCUGAUGGCUCACAUGAAGUUUCGUGCCGUUCCGACCUCGUUUGAUACGGUUAUGGUUAACCACACGGCCCCUCGGGCCCGACCCGAGCCCAGUCAACGUUUUGACCCGAUCAAAUCGGCCCGUGACUCGAAACGACCCUACUUGGGCCCUACAACAGCCACGUAAAGUUUCGGGAUGAUCCGACGUUCUUUCAUGGGGUUACGGACAAUCCACGCCAAACAAGCGUCACGGGCCGACCGAGCCGGGCCAACGGGCCCUCGGGACCCGAAAACUGAAUUUUUUUUCAUCCAAACCCAUUAAAACACGUUACCGAGGUCUCACGCAAAAUUUCAUGCCAAUCCGACGUCGUUUGAUGGGGUUUUGAGAUAUUAUGAUUCCUCAAAAAUUUAAUGUCUGUUCCUGUCACUUAGCUUUUUGUGCAAAAUGUAUAUAUAGGGGAGGGGUGGGUGUUGAGCAGCCCAUGCCCGGGCAAGGCAUGCCAGCGCCCAAGCCAAAGGAGGCUGGUGGCGUGCGUAUAACAGCUCAAAUGCCCCAACGAUGACCGAGAACAAGCGCCCAUCUCCCCUCCUUCCCCCCCACCAAGCGCCCCUCCCCCCCCAUGUUGCCUGCCCACUCGCACAGCUACUCGUGAUUUCAUGCCCAGCGACUAGUGAAUGUGCCUCGACGACCAGCAAACCUCGAAAAUUAUGAUUCCUCGUAAAAUUAAUGUCUGUUCCUGUCACUUUACUUUUUGUGCAAAAUGUAUAUAUAGGGGAGACCAGGGGCUUGAGCAACCCCUGUGCCCAAGCAAGGGUCAGAUGGAAGCACACGAGACGCGAGGUUUAAAGCCUAUACAAGCAAGGCGUCUGUCUCCCCAAGCCCCAUUGCCUAUAAAACAAGCCCGAUGCCUUGUAAAUGCCCCACACGAUGCCUAUAAACGACAACGAUGUUUGCUAGUUAAUCGAUCGACGCCCCACACCUUGCAGCAUGUUGCCUAGUAAACAAGCCAUGCUGCCUUGGAAGCGCCCCACAUCAUGGCAUGUUGCCUAGCACGCUGCCCUUGUUUCCAGCACGGCGACCUGAAAGCGUGGCCUGACGACGUGCUUGCCUUCGAAAAUUAUGAUUCCUCAAAAAAUUAAUGUCUGUUCCUGUCACUUUACUUUUUGU